rnacentral:rRNA from 1 species
GGCGGCGUGCUUAACACAUGCAAGUCUAAGACUCUUCGGGUUAGUGGCGGACGGGUGAGUAACGCGUGAGAAUCUGCCCUCAGGAGGGGGAUAACAGUUGGAAACGAGUGCUAAUACCCCAUAUGCCGAGAGGUGAAACGAAUUUUGCCUGGGGAUGAGCUCGCGUCUGAUUAGCUUGUUGGUGGGGUAAAAGCCUACCAAGGCUUCGAUCAGUAGCUGGUCUGAGAGGACGAUCAGCCACACUGGGACUGAGAUACGGCCCAGACUCCUACGGGAGGCAGCGGUGGGGAAUUUUCCGC